GAUGAACGCUAGCUACAGGCUUAACACAUGCAAGUCGAGGGGCAGCAUGAAAGGAACUUCGGUUCUUUUUGAUGGCGACCGGCGCACGGGUGCGUAACGCGUAUCGAACCUGCCUCAUACUCGGGGAUAGCCUUGCGAAAGUAAGAUUAAUACCCGGCGGUCUCGGAUGGCCGCAUGACUAUCCGAGUGAAGAUUUAUCGGUAUGAGAUGGCGAUGCGUCCCAUUAGCUAGUUGGUGAGGUAAUGGCUCACCAAGGCAUCGAUGGGUAGGGGUUCUGAGAGGAAGGUCCCCCACAUUGGAACUGAGACACGGUCCAAACUCCUACGGGAGGCAGCGGUGAGGAAUAUUGGUCAAUGGACGAAAGUCUGAACCAGCCAAGUAGCGUGCAGGAUGACGGCCCUCUGGGUUGUAAACUGCUUUUAGUUGGGAAUAAAAAGAGGGACGUGUCCCUUAUUGUAUGUACCAUCAGAAAAAGGACCGGCUAAUUCCGUGCCAGCAGCCGCGGUAAUACGGAAGGUCCAGGCGUUAUCCGGAUUUAUUGGGUUUAAAGGGAGCGCAGGCGGCGGCGUAAGUCAGUUGUGAAAUCGUGCGGCUUAACCGUGCAAUUGCAGUUGAUACUGCGUCGCUUGAGUGCACACAGGGAUGUUGGAAUUCAUGGUGUAGCGGUGAAAUGCUUAGAUAUCAUGAAGAACUCCGAUUGCGAAGGCAGCCUGCUAAGCUGCAACUGGCAUUGAGGCUCGAAAGUGUGGGUAUCAAACAGG
rnacentral:rRNA from 1 species